CAGCACCACCAACUCCUCCAACCACCACAUCAUGUGCCUGUCAUCACGAGGGAAGAAUGUAUAUUCCAGGUGAUGAAAUAUUAAGAAGUCACAGUGGAGAAAGGGAUGGAAAAUGCUACAGCUAUAUAUGUGAUGUCAGCUGCAAGCAACCAACCCGUAUUGAACAACCUUGUGGACCUACACCACCACCACCAACACCACCAACUCCUCCAACCACCACAUCAUGUGCCUGUCAUCACGAGGGAAGAAUGUUUAUUCCAGGU